rnacentral:rRNA from 1 species
AUGCAAGUCGAACGAACCGCGACUAGGUGCUUGCACUUGGUCAAGGUGAGUGGCGAACGGGUGAGUAACACGUGGGUAACCUACCUCAUAGUGGGGGAUAACAGUCGGAAACGACUGCUAAUACCGCAUAGGACAUGGAAUCACAUGAUUCAGUGAGGAAAGGUGGCGCAAGCUAUCGCUAAGAGGUGGACCCGCGGUGCAUUAGCUAGUUGGUAGGGUAACGGCCUACCAAGGCGAUGAUGCAUAGCCGACCUGAGAGGGUGAUCGGCCACAUUGGGACUGAGACACGGCCCAAACUCCUACGGGAGGCAGCAGUAGGGAAUCUUCCGCAAUGGACGCAAGUCUGACGGAGCAACGCCGCGUGAGUGAAGAAGGUCUUCGGAUCGUAAAGCUCUGUUGUUAGAGAAGAACAGCGCAUAGAGUAACUGUUAUGCGUGUGACGGUAUCUAACCAGAAAGCCACGGCUAACUACGUGCCAGCAGCCGCGGUAAUACGUAGGUGGCGAGCGUUGUCCGGAUUUAUUGGGCGUAAAGGGAGUGUAGGCGGUCUUUUAAGUCUGAUGUGAAAGCCCACGGCUCAACCGUGGAGGGUCAUUGGAAACUGGGAGACUUGAGUGCAGAAGAGGAGAGCGGAAUUCCAUGUGUAGCGGUGAAAUGCGUAGAUAUAUGGAGGAACACCAGUGGCGAAGGCGGCUCUCUGGUCUGUAACUGACGCUGAGGCUCGAAAGCGUGGGGAGCAAACAGGAUUAGAUACCCUGGUAGUCCACGCCGUAAACGAUGAGUGCUAAGUGUUGGAGGGGUUCCACCCUUCAGUGCUGGAGUUAACGCAAUAAGCACUCCGCCU